GACUACCAGGGUAUCUAAUCCUGUUUGCUCCCCACGCUUUCGUGCAUGAGCGUCAGUACAGGUCCAGGGGAUUGCCUUCGCCAUCGGUGUUCCUCCGCAUAUCUACGCAUUUCACUGCUACACGCGGAAUUCCAUCCCCCUCUACCGUACUCUAGCCUUGCAGUCACAAAUGCAGGUCCCAGGUUGAGCCCGGGGAUUUCACAUCUGUCUUACAAAACCGCCUGCGCACGCUUUACGCCCAGUAAUUCCGAUUAACGCUCGCACCCUACGUAUUACCGCGGCUGCUGGCACGUAGUUAGCCGGUGCUUAUUCUUACGGUACCGUCAUUAGCCCCCCGUAUUAGAGAGGACCGUUUCGUUCCGUACAAAAGCAGUUUACAACCCGAAGGCCUUCAUCCUGCACGCGGCAUUGCUGGAUCAGGCUUGCGCCCAUUGUCCAAAAUUCCCCACUGCAGCCACCCGUAGG
rnacentral:rRNA from 1 species